UCAGGCCUCCGUGUGGAGGUGGCUUGGGCGCUCGGGCCCAGCUGGGGGCACCGGCGGGAAGUUUGGACUCCGAGGGCCGGCACUCGAGGCGCUAAAGCUCACCCCUCAGUGGCGCCCCAGAUUCGGGUUUGGGGUGUCGCGCUGGGACUCACUGGCGAGGCCCAAUGGCUUCGGCUUCCUCACUGGGAGGAGCCACCCUCGCUUUCAAGUUCCUUCAUAAUCUGCCAACAUAGAGCUGUGUCGUAGAAAGCUGGCCUGUUGAAGGUAGGAUCUACUUCUUACUCAAACGUUGUGCUUCAAAUAGCAUUCUUCAUUAUCAUAUAUAGGGUGGAAUGUUAGGCACUUUAUUUAUAUUAUGUAAUCUAAUUAUCACUAUCACCCUGAGAAUAUGGAGGCUCAGAGACAAAAAGAAAAACAAACAAAACUUGCCAUUAUGUCCAAGCCAGGAUCUGAAAGGUCUAACUCCCUGAUCCAAACUUUAUCUGUAACAUUUAGCAAAGUGCCUGAUACAUAGUAGGGUGUCAACAAAUGCUUGUUGAAUGAAUGAUGAAUGAACCUGCAUUUAAAAUGAGUAGUUGAUAAUUGACUGCUUAAAAACGAUCUAGAGAUAACUAUGUACCUGAUGGUACACUUGAUUUUUUUCAGCAACUUUCAUCAGCUUUUGUGAGUGUAGUUUGUGCUUGUUCUAAGUUUAUAUGUGAGCAGCAAUUUUGCAAAGUGUCAGUAGUUAUAUAGUAAAACAAAACAAAAAGGUAAAAGGAAAAGCAAAAAAAAAUUCUUUCUAUGGACAGAAGACUCACAACAGACUGGUUUAUUAACAUUAAGUAACUGACCAUUUAUGGGUCUCCUUACAGAAUGUUUGUUGUCUUCAGGUAUAAAUGUGUAGAAUUAAUUCAUUCAGGAAACUUUCCAUUUUAGAGUGAGAAACAUUUUUAAUGCCUUUAUUUUGUUCAAGUUUCUCUUCUCUGGUUUAUGAUUUGGAGAGGUUUUUCUUAAUUUGAAUUAGUGAGAAAAUCAGCCCACAAUCUGAACCACUCAAUAUUUACUCAUGAAAAUUGUUCUGAUGAAUAACAAAACCAAAGGAAAAACACUUCGGAAAAUAUCACCAAAGAAUUAUUUCUUUUCUGAGAAUCUACAUUUCUGACAUGUUUUGGUCUAGUCAAGGUUUAGAGUCUGUUACUAUUCAAAAUGUGAUCCAUGAAACAGCAGACUUGGCAUUGCCUGGGAGCCUGUUAAAAUUGCAGCAUCUCAUCAUUCCUCAAACCUAGACCUACUUAAUCAGUGUGGGCUUUACCAAGAUUCCUAAGAGUUAUGUUUGAAAAAACAUUAAAGUUUGAAAAGUAUUACUUUAAAACAGU